rnacentral:rRNA from 1 species
AUUGAACGCUGGCGGCAGGCUUAACACAUGCAAGUCGAGCGGAGAUGAGGUGCUUGCACCUUAUCUUAGCGGCGGACGGGUGAGUAAUGCUUAGGAAUCUGCCUAUUAGUGGGGGACAACAUUCCGAAAGGAAUGCUAAUACCGCAUACGCCCUACGGGGGAAAGCAGGGGAUCUUCGGACCUCGCGCUAAUAGAUGAGCCUAAGUCGGAUUAGCUAGUUGGUGGGGUAAAGGCCUACCAAGGCGACAAUCUGUAGCGGGUCUGAGAGGAUGAUCCGCCACACUGGGACUGAGACACGGCCCAGACUCCUACGGGAGGCAGCAGUGGGGAAUAUUGGACAAUGGGCGGAAGCCUGAUCCAGCCAUGCCGCGUGUGUGAAGAAGGCCUUUUGGUUGUAAAGCACUUUAAGCGAGGAGGAGGCUACCUGGAUUAAUACUCUAGGAUAGUGGACGUUACUCGCAGAAUAAGCACCGGCUAACUCUGUGCCAGCAGCCGCGGUAACAC